AGCGAGUUUCAUGGCGGCCCGUACCCUAAACCGACUCAGGUAGUCAGGUAGAGAAUACCGAGGCGUUCGGGUGAACUAUGGUUAAGGAACUCGGCAAAAUGCCCCCGUAACUUCGGGAGAAGGGGGGCCAUCACUGGUGAUCCGAUUUACUCGGUGAGCUGGGGGUGGCCGCAGAGACCAGCGAGAAGCGACUGUUUACUAAAAACACAGGUCCGUGCGAAGCCGUAAGGCGAUGUAUACGGACUGACGCCUGCCCGGUGCUGGAACGUUAAGGGGACCGGUUAGCUGACUUUCGGGUCGGCGAAGCUGAGAACUUAAGCGCCAGUAAACGGCGGUGGUAACUAUAACCAUCCUAAGGUAGCGAAAUUCCUUGUCGGGUAAGUUCCGACCUGCACGAAUGGCGUAACGACUUCUCGACUGUCUCAACCAUAGGCCCGGUGAAAUUGCACUACGAGUAAAGAUGCUCGUUUCGCGCAGCAGGACGGAAAGACCCCGGGACCUUUACUAUAGUUUGAUAUUGGUGUUCGGUUCGGCUUGUGUAGGAUAGGUGGGAGACUUUGAAGCGGCCACGCCAGUGGUUGUGGAGUCGUCGUUGAAAUACCACUCUGGUCGUGCUGGAUGUCUAACCUGGGUCCGUGAUCCGGAUCAGGGACAGUGUCUGAUGGGUAGUUUAACUGGGGCGGUUGCCUCCUAAAGAGUAACGGAGGCGCCCAAAGGUUCCCUCAGCCUGGUUGGCAAUCAGGUGUUGAGUGUAAGUGCACAAGGGAGCUUGACUGUGAGACCGACGGGUCGAGCAGGGACGAAAGUCGGGACUAGUGAUCCGGCAGUGGCUUGUGGAAGCGCUGUCGCUCAACGGAUAAAAGGUACCCCGGGGAUAACAGGCUGAUCUUCCCCAAGAGUCCAUAUCGACGGGAUGGUUUGGCACCUCGAUGUCGGCUCGUCGCAUCCUGGGGCUGGAGUCGGUCCCAAGGGUUGGGCUGUUCGCCCAUUAAAGCGGUACGCGAGCUGGGUUUAGAACGUCGUGAGACAGUUCGGUCCCUAUCCGCUGUGCGCGUAGGAAUAUUGAGAAGGGCUGUCCCUAGUACGAGAGGACCGGGACGGACGAACCUCUGGUGUGCCAGUUGUCCUGCCAAGGGCAUGGCUGGUUGGCUACGUUCGGAAAGGAUAACCGCUGAAAGCAUCUAAGCGGGAAGCCUGCUUCGAGAUGAGUAUUCCCACCACCUUGAGUGGUUAAGGCUCCCAGUAGACGACUGGGUUGAUAGGCCAGAUGUGGAAGCCCGGUAACGGGUGGAGCUGACUGGUACUAAUAGGCCGAGGGCUUGUCCUCAGUUG
rnacentral:rRNA from 1 species